GACCCCCUCAUACGUUCUCUCUCGCUUUACCUAGUCCGGCGUAGAUCGUUUCGCCAGCGACAUACGGAGCUACAGAUGCUUCUAGAAGUCUACUGCGCAUUGUCGUAAAACCGUAGACGUUAUAUCGGGAAUUGAAAUUAUGAUUUGUCUCGCUAUACCGACAUUGACGAAUCUACCCGUUUAACCGGUAAUCCACUGAUACCGUGUUUGCUGUGUAACCGUAAAGCGGAUCGUGAAAUGUCUAACGGCAUCGGAUUUAUUACAGAGUGUAAUUAAGGUGCUCACAAACCGGAGCGGUUAGUGUCGCCGAAAAUUUGUCGUUUUUCACCAAUUUUAAAUUGAAGACGAACUCGUGGCUCAUAGUUAUAUUAAUUGGUUCGCUGCGGUAUGUUAUUACUGCAAGACUUGCAGCGAAAUAAUUUUCGUUCGAUGCCGUGCACUAUUAUAUUUCAUUUAUCUACCUCGGUAAAAUGAAUUUCCAAACGGGUCUGCCAAUAACCAGAUAGGACUUUUGAUCGAACGAAUUAUACGUGUGUUUGAUGGCGGAUUACUGUUGAAUUCUAAAUACGAAUUUACGUCUAGUCCGAAAAUAUUAAUUAUGUUAUAAUUUUAUUUAAUGCACUAAUCAUAAUGAAUAUUCACCGGUGGUCAGUAGGUAUCUGUGUCUAAACGUGUAUUUAUGAUACCGAUAUGAUGGAAACAUAUAUCAUGAGCAAUUCAAAUUGCAUAUAAACGAAUGACUACGGGUAUAUUAGCAGCCAUUUCGGAUCGAUUAUAUCGUACGAUGCGAUGAUUAAUAAAUUAAACAGGUAUUUAAUUUAUUGAAAGAAGCUUACAUUAACAUUGUAGCCUAGAAUUAUUUUAUACUAAAAUUGAGCUAAAAACAGGUGGCAUAUUAUACAUCCAAUAUUAAAGGGAAGGAAAACUCAUAGACGUUACCGUUGUCCAUUAGCAGAGUUUUUGUUAUACAUAUAAUUUUCUUUGAACGAGGUCUCUGUGUAUGUUUUGAACGUUUUGUUCAACUAUUUGGUUCAAGUGUGUACUAUCUCGGAUAUUUUAUCGGUUGGCGAACUUUUGUUUUUUUUUUUUUCAAUGUGGCAUUCAUUUACGAUGUAACAAUGAUUUAAAAAUUAAAAUUUUUUAUAGUAUUUUACGUACUCUUGGCCCUUGGGUUAAAUUACACGAUGUUGAAUAUAUUUAAAUGAAAUAUGUAUCAAACAGAUUACGAUUAUAUACGAUGCGAUUGUAAUUUAUAAUUGUUGGUAAUUUUGAAGUAGCGUAGACAGUAAAUAGUAAGUUAACCAUUUUUAUUAGUGUUCAUCAAUCUUCAUGCUUUAUUGGCUACCAUGAAAAAGU